CCUACGGGUGGCAGCAGUGAGGAAUAUUGGUCAAUGGGCGGAAGCCUGAACCAGCCAAGUAGCGUGCAGGAUGACGGCCCUACGGGUUGUAAACUGCUUUUAUACGGGAAUAACGCGCCUUACGUGUAGGGCUUUGCAUGUACCGUAUGAAUAAGGACCGGCUAAUUCCGUGCCAGCAGCCGCGGUAAUACGGAAGGUCCGGGCGUUAUCCGGAUUUAUGGGGGUUAAAGGGAGCGUAGGCCGCAGGGCAAGCGUGCUGUGAAAUGUCCGGGCUCAACCCGGGCCUGGCAGCGCGGACGGGCGUGCUUGAGUCCGCGGAAGGCAGGCGGAAUGCGUCGUGUAGCGGUGAAAUGCUUAGAUAUGACGCAGAACCCCGAUCGCGAAGGCAGCUUGCUGCAGCGGAACUGACGCUGAUGCUCGAAAGCGCGGGUAUCGAACAGGAUUAGAUACCCUGGUAGUC
rnacentral:rRNA from 1 species